UGCUAGCUCAGUGGUUAGAGCUUAGGUCUCGUAUCUGGAAGAUCCCAGGAUCGAAUCCUGCUAGAGGCAG
rnacentral:tRNA from 1 species